AACGAACGCUGGCGGCAUGCCUAACACAUGCAAGUCGAACGAGACCUUCGGGUCUAGUGGCGCACGGGUGCGUAACGCGAGGGAACCUGCCCUUAGGUUUGGAAUAACUCCCAGAAAGGGGUGCUAAUACCGGAUAAUGUCUUCGGACCAAAGAUUUAUCGCCUUUGGGUGGGCCCGCGUUGGAUUGGCUAGUUGGUAGGGUAAAAGCCUACCAAGGCGACGAUCCUUAGCUGGUCUGAGAGGAUGAUCAGCCACACUGGGACUGAGACACGGCCCAGACUCCUACGGGAGGCAGCAGUGGGGAAUAUUGGACAAUGGGCGAAAGCCUGAUCCAGCAAUGCCGCGUGAGUGAUGAAGGCCUUAGGGUUGUAAAGCUCUUUUACCCGGGAUGAUAAUGACAGUACCGGGAGAAUAAGUUCCGGCUAACUCCGUG
rnacentral:rRNA from 1 species